AACUGGGACUACAUGAGUAGCUGGGACUACAGAGACCAUUCACUUACUAUAUUCAGAACACCAAGAGAUACGUAAAGACUGCGGUUGAUUGGUGAGCUUUGCUGGACUCAGGUGGAGAAGGCUUUGCCUUGGCCCCCAGAAGAGCAGAUGCUCCAGUCAAUUCUGGAGUAGGAAGAAAAGAUUUGGAAUACUUUAUGACUCCCUGUGAUAUGGUUUAGAUGUUUUGUCUCCUCCAAAUCUCAUGUUGAAAUGUGACCUCCAGUGCUGGAAGUGGGCCUAGAGGGAGUUGUUUGGGUCAUGGGGGCAGAUUCCUUAUGAAUAUCUUGGUGCUGUCCUAGUGGUAAUGAUUGAGUUCUCAUUCUACGAGUUCACAUAAGAUCUUGUUGUUUAAAAGAGCCUGGCACCUCCUUUCUUUCUCUCUUGCUCACUCUCACAAUGUGACACACUGGAUCCCCUUGACUUUCCACCAUCAUUGUAAGGCUUCUGAGGCCCUCCUAGAAGCAGAUACCUGCACCAUGCUUCAUGUACAGCCUGCAGAACUGUGAGACAAAUAAACUUGUUUUCUUCUAAAUUA
rnacentral:lncRNA from 1 species